UCCCUGAUGGCUCAGACGGUAAAGAAUCUGUCUGCAAAGCGGGAGACUCAGGUUCAAUCCCUGGGUGGGGAA
rnacentral:tRNA from 1 species